rnacentral:rRNA from 1 species
UACGUAGGGUGCGAGCGUUGUCCGGAAUUAUUGGGCGUAAAGAGCUUGUAGGCGGUUUGUCGCGUCUGCUGUGAAAAUCCGGGGCUCAACCCCGGACUUGCAGUGGGUACGGGCAGACUAGAGUGUGGUAGGGGAGACUGGAAUUCCUGGUGUAGCGGUGGAAUGCGCAGAUAUCAGGAGGAACACCGGUGGCGAAGGCGGGUCUCUGGGCCGAUGACUGACGCUGGAGGAGCGAAAGCGUGGGGAGCGAACAGG